UCAAGCUACAAAGGGCGCAUGGUGAAUGCCUUGGCAUCAGGAGCCGAUGAAGGACGUGAUAAGCUGCGAUAAGCUUCGGGUAGGCGCACAUAGCCAGUGAUCCGGAGAUUUCCGAAUGAGGGAACUCACAUGGGAAACCCCAUGUACCGUAUAGUGAAUACAUAGCUAUACGGAGGUAAACCUAGGGAACUGAAACAUCUAAGUACCUAGAGGAAGAGAAAGAAAAAUCGAUUUUCUGAGUAGCGGCGAGCGAAAGGGAAAGAGCCCAAACCAGUGACUUGUCACUGGGGUUGCGGACAGAACAUUAACGAGAAGAUGUUGUUAACCGAACAUAACUGGAAAGUUAGACCGUAGGAGGUAAUAGUCCUGUAGGUGAAAGCGACAUUAAUCAAGUUCUGAUCCAGAGUACCACGAGACACGUGAAACCUUGUGGGAAGCAGGGAGGACCACCUCCCAAGGCUAAAUACUACCUGAUGACCGAUAGUGAAGCAGUACCGUGAGGGAAAGGUGAAAAGAACCCCGGGAGGGGAGUGAAAUAGAACCUGAAACCGUGUGCCUACAACCGGUCAAAGCCCCUUAUGAGGGUGAUGACGUGCUUUUUGUAGAACGAGCCAACGAGUUACGGUAUGUAGCAAGGUUAAGUACUUAAGGUACGGAGCCGAAGGGAAACCGAGUCUUAAUAGGGCGACUAGUUGCAUGCCGUAGACCCGAAACCGGGUGACCUAUCCAUGGCCAGGUUGAAGCGAGGGUAAAACCUCGUGGAGGACCGAACCACGUUGCUGUUGAAAAAGCAUGGGAUGAGCUGUGGAUAGCGGAGAAAUUCCAAUCGAACUCGGAGAUAGCUGGUUCUCCCCGAAAUAGCUUUAGGGCUAGCGUCGGAUAUGUGUAGUGGAGGUAGAGCACUGAAUGGGCUAGGGGGCAUAUCGCUUACCGAACCUUAUCAAACUCCGAAUGCCAUAUACAUUUAGUCCGGCAGUCAGACUACGAAUGAUAAGAUCCGUGGUCAAAAGGGAAACAGCCCAGAUCGUCAGCUAAGGUCCCAAAGUGUAAGUUAAGUGGAAAAGGAUGUGGGAUUUCUAAGACAACUAGGAUGUUGGCUUAGAAGCAGCCACUCAUUUAAAGAGUGCGUAAUAGCUCACUAGUCGAGAGAUCCUGCGCCGAAAAUGUCCGGGGCUAAAACUUACCACCGAAGCUACGGGCUUGCGUAAGCAAGCGGUAGGGGAGCGUCGUAAUCGGGCUGAAGUCGUACCGUAAGGAGCGGUGGACUGAUUACGAGUGAGAAUGUUGGCAUUAGUAGCGAGAUGUAGGUGAGAAUCCUACAGGCCGAAUAUCUAAGGUUUCCUCAGGAAGGCUCGUCCGCUGAGGGUUAGUCGGGACCUAAGCCGAGGCCGAAAGGCGUAGGCGAUGGACAACAGGUUGAUAUUCCUGUACCACUACCAUCGUUAUUAUCGAGGGUGUGACGGAGAAGGAUAGUGUGUGCUAGCGAUUGGAAAUGCUAGUCUAAGCGUUUAGGCAGUUACGGUAGGCAAAUCCGCUGUAACGUUAAUGCUGAGGCGUGAUGGGGAAGGCCCUUGAGGCUGAAGUACAUGAUUCCAUGCUUCCAAGAAAAGCAUCUAGAGAGAGAAGUAGUGCCCGUACCGCAAACCGACACAGGUAGAUGAGGAGAGAAUCCUAAGGCCGGCGGAAGAAUUGCAGUUAAGGAACUAGGCAAAUUGACCCCGUAAGUUAGCGAGAAGGGGUGCCUGCGAGAGCAGGCCGCAGAGAAUAGGCCCAAGCAACUGUUUAGCAAAAACACAGGUCUCUGCUAAAGCGCAAGCUGAUGUAUAGGGGCUGACGCCUGCCCGGUGCUGGAAGGUUAAGGGGAACACUUAGCGCAAGCGAAGGUGUGAACUUAAGCCCCAGUAAACGGCGGCCGUAACUAUAACGGUCCUAAGGUAGCGAAAUUCCUUGUCAGGUAAG
rnacentral:rRNA from 1 species